rnacentral:lncRNA from 1 species
UUAUGAAGGUGGAGGUAACUUCCAAUUUCUAAGGCCACAGAGUAAAAUAAUUUGGAUAGAACUAUUGACUACUUAUCUUUAGCAGAAGGUAUAUUUUUAACUACAGCUUUCUGCUUUGUUCUAAGAACUAGGCAAAAGUGGUAUAUCUUCAAUCCAAUCAACAUAUAUACCACGUAUCUUCCUCUUCACUUCUGUCCAUUUUGAUUUGUACUUCAUAUCCUGCACUUGCUGCUUAGAAAUAGUCUUACUCUGGACAUUGAAAGUAGAAAAAGUACUUGAAACAAUCAUUGGCACAGCCCGAGAUUCCAUUGAAUCGUGGACUCCAAGCUUUCAUAGCUCUAUAAAGAAAAUGACAAAACAUCAUACAACUGGCAUUCAGCUUUUAACAUGUGCACAACCUGAGCGAGUUAGCAAGCCCCUUGUUGCGUUCCCAUUGAAUAGACCUACUUCUGUUAUCCACAGAAGAUCCACCACUCAAAAUGUUUAUCACCAAGCCAUUCCUAAACUGAGUAGAAACUUCCGCACAUCUCUCAGCAUUUACAUGAAGAAAUCGACACCUAUCCUCAUAUUUGCAAGUUUUCUGAUAAUAGAACUCUCCACAAAGCUGCAUUUCACUAAGCAAUCUAGCCUCUGCAUUUAUAGCAAAGUGACAUUGAUUCCCGUAUUUGUAAUCACCUAACUUGGGUUUUGGGCAUAGCAUGGUCUUAAAAUUACCACCCAUUACUUUGUUCAGUGCCACUGGCAUUCACAAGCUCUAGCCCUGUUAGCUGAAUCAUAUUUAAUGGGACAGUGAGGCAGCAUUUCACUAACAUGUUCAAUUUGACUACUCAUAUUGACGCAAAUAUUAGAAUUUGAAAUCACUUCUUUUCUUGGAAUAUUAUAUUAAAAUGACCCCAAAUGAAAGUUCUUGAAUGGAAAUGAUUUUUAUUUAAUCUUCCAACAGAUUCAAGAAAACCCAGAUAACACAAAAUUUACACAGUAAUAUGAUUAAGAGCUAAGAACGUACAUGUAGUAAAUGUCUAUCAAAAAACACCAAAGGGUUUCUUUAAAAUUAGAAACUAAGAAUCAUUUUACAUUUUUAGCAACUUUGGGGUGAGUGAGUGAGUGAGAAAGUGAAACCCUAAAGUGAUGACAACAAUAGAUUCAGUAUGAAGUGAAACCCCAAUUUGAAAUGUAGGCAUGAGUUGCUGAGUCAGUAGAUGAAAUUAUAAUUAGGCAUUCGGUAUCUUUCUUUUCGGUUUGGAGGGCCAUGGAAUAGUGUAUUGGAGUGGGCUCUAAGUAAUAGCCUCUAUCACUGCAAUGACACAUUUGCAAAACGUGAUACAUAGGGAAGGAUUGGGCAUUAUACUCUUAUAUUAGUGCCUUAUUUAGGGUGUAUAUUAAGUAGAUUAUAUAUUACAUGGAGAUGGAGUUUAUAAAAUAAAUUAAAAAGAAAAGGAAAUUUAGUGUUUAGAGUUUGCCACUUGGAAUAUUUCGGUGUCUAAACAUUCACUCACCACUUAUUUCAUGUCUGAUUAUAUGUUGAAAAGAUAUUAAAGUAAUUUAACGCAAUUAAGGCUUAACGUAUAUUUUUUAUUAGUAGAGUGUAGAACUUUUAAGAAAUAUAUUAUUAAAUUACUAUAACUAACAUAUUAUUUUAAAGUUGUGUUAUGAAAAAAAAUGAAAUAAAAACGUAAAGUAAAUAAGAAUAUUCUAAAACUUUUAUCUUUUUAAAAUUAGUUUUUAACAUAAGGUGAACAAUUUUUUUUUAAAUCACAUAUUCUAGUUAAAAUCAAAUAUGUAUUUAUAUGAAGCUUGUAAAUUUUUUUUUAGUACUGAUAUUUGAAUAUUAUCAAUAAAAAAAAAAGGGUAAUGUUCAUGCUGCAUUAUUUUUGUAGCACACAAAAGGACAACACCGUUUAUGUUAUAAUACUAUUGCUUCUGUUAUGAUAGUAUUUUUGUUAGUGGCAAAAUAUCAUUUUUUUUUUAAGUAAAAAGGUGGACAGAAUGCAAAUCAGUUUUUAAUCCUCAAUUUCUCCCAAAAUUUAAAUUCGUAAUUAGUCAAAUAAAAUUGAUCGAAAACCAUUAAGCUAGGUCCAUGGGUUGUUAAAACUAUAGCUGACAAAAAGUUACUAACAAAAACAGAAUGUCCAUUUUAUAACUUUCUUAAAAAACUUUCUUUAACUUUUUUAAAAAGUUACCAACAAAAAGUUAUUUCCAAUUUUUAUUUUGUUAUAAUGUUUAUAACAAAAUUCGUAGUUAACUAAACUCUUCUUAUCCCCUUUCUCAACUGCCAUACCCUAACCACGCUCAAUUUAGGCCAUCACAGUGACCGACAGCCUCCCUAUCUCCAUUUCAAGCUCCCUCUUCAACUGGCUUCUGCUUCGGUCGUACUCUUUCUUGGAUUCAGAGUCCGUAUUUGCUCGGCCGGUCCCGCACAACUCCCUCUCACUCCAAUUGUCACCCAACAAGACCAAUUGCUUACUCAAGGCACAGAACAAGAAGAGGAUGAGAAGUUGAAACAAGAAUUUGAGAAUUGGAAAUCGAAAUCGAAAACGUACGCAUUGACCAUGCCUUUAAGGGUUGUUUCUCUUCAGAAUUCAGUGCCUCAAUCUUGGGUUUAGGAUUUUAUGCGAAGUCAAGGAAAGAGAUUGAAGUUUCAGAUGAAUUUGUGUGCUAGCAUUGAUGGGAUCUUUAACAAUUUAUCUGUGCCCUUUAACAAAGUUAAGGCUAAGUCAGCUUCUUAUAUGGCUGCUGAUUUGGUUAGUGUUGGUGAUUCAUGGCUUAGUUUUGCCAUUAAAAAGAGAUUGAUUGAGCCAAUUGCUGGAACUGAAGAUCAAGAUUGGUUCAAAUACUUAAGUCAAAAAUGGAAGGUAACAUACUAACAUCUUUAUCUUUGACCCGAUAAUUUUUAUUGUCUUACAUUGAAAUUUGGUAAUGUAAUUUGUUCUCUAUUUGUGUUACCCUUAGUAGUCGUUUUAUUUAUUUGUUUAUUUGCUUUUAUUUGCACUAACGAAAUCUCAGGUAUAUCUACGCAGGAAUGAUGCAGGAGAAAUUGAUCCUCGAGGUAAAAUAUGGGCGGCACCAUACAGGUGGGGCACAACGGUGAUAGCCUCCAAGAAAAGUAAAUUUCGAAAGCAUAAUUUGGCUCCGAUUGAGGUAAUAAUUUUCUUUAAACUCAUUUAGUUUUAUAUCAAACAAAAUCAAGACUGCCUUUCUCUUCAAUAUUUUUUAUGAUAAUAUCUUUAGAAGCAUCUCAUUGACAGGUAACAAUGGCAUCCCUGAAAGAGUCUAUAAACUCAAUGAUAUUAUCUUCUACAAAUGGUUCAUUAAACUUUGUCGUUGUACUCAAAUGUACACUCAGAUCAAUGAGAAGCUAUGCCACUUUAGCAUGUAGUGAUGGCACUUAAUAAGUGAGUUGCUAGGAUGUGAACUAGAAAAAUUAAAUAUUGUCUCCUUGGGUAUGCUAGCUUGUAAGUCAGGGUUAAUAUCAGAGCUUAAGAUACUAUAACCGUGAGAACCUAUUGACUGCCAAUUAAAAUAUCCAUUAAAAUGUCUAGGGAGUUAUGAAGGUGGAGGUUACUUCCAAUUUCUAAGGCCACAGAGUAGACAUCAUCCAGGAUCCUAGGAAAGUCCAGUUAACCUCCUGCUCGAUGCAAUUAAUAAAUUUGGUCAAUGCCACUGAAACCUGUUAACUGACGUCACAAUGCGACAUGAGCACUUCAAAAUGGGACAGACGGUCAGUAGCACUAAAUUUUUCUUGCCUAAGAUUGAGCAAUUGGUCUAACUACUAAUCCCUAUUGUAGGUUGAUCAUUAUUUUUUCAAUUAU